AUAUCUCUCCGUACGGGAAGGAUGAGAAGCUUCGACCAGGGUUCGAUUCGAGCGCAGCGAGAAAGCGUUGCCGCAGGCAACGGCCCGAAGGGCGAAGCGCGCAGCGCUGAGUCAUCCUUCCCCCACCACCA
rnacentral:sRNA from 7 species